rnacentral:rRNA from 1 species
CCUACGGGAGGCAGCAGUGGGGGAUAUUGCACAAUGGGGGAAACCCUGAUGCAGCGACGCCGCGUGGGUGAAGAAGUAGUUCGGUAUGUAAAGCCCUAUCAGCAGGGAAGAAAGAAGACGGUACCUAACUAAGAAGCCCCGGCUAACUCCGUGCCAGCAGCCGCGGUAAUACGUAGGGGGCGAGCGUUAUCCGGAUGUAUGGGGUUUAAAGGGUGCGCAGGAGGAAGAUCAAGUCAGCGGUAAAAUGGAGAGGCUCAACCUCUUCGAGCCGUUGAAACUGGUUUUCUUGAGUGAGUGAGAAGUAUGCGGAAUGCGUGGUGUAGCGGUGAAAUGCAUAGAUAUCACGCAGAACUCCGAUUGCGAAGGCAGCAUACCGGCGCUCAACUGACGCUCAUGCACGAAAGUGUGGGUAUCGAACAGGAUUAGAUACCCGGGUAGUC